rnacentral:misc_RNA from 1 species
GAUGAAGAACGUAGCGAAAUGCGAUAAGUAAUGUGAAUUGCAGAAUUCAGUGAAUCAUCGAGUCUUUGAACGCACAUUGCGCCCCCUGGUAUUCCGGGGGGCAUGCCUGUCCGAGCGUCAUUGCUGCCCUCAAGCACGGCUUGUGUGUUGGGCCUCCGUCCUCCUCCCGGGGGACGGGCCCGAAAGGCAGCGGCGGCACCGCGUCCGGUCCUCGAGCGUAUGGGGCUUCGUCACCCGCUCUUGUAGGACCGGCCGGCGCUUGCCGACACAUCAAUCUUUUUUCCAGGUUGACCUCGGAUCAGGUAGGGAUACCCGCUGAACUUAAGCAUAUCAAUAAGCGGAGGA